rnacentral:rRNA from 2 species
CGGACUUGCUCCUGANUUACGGCGGNGGGUGAGUACACGUGGGCACCUGCCUAUAAGACUGGGAUAACUUCGGGAAACCGGAGCUAAUACCGGAUACGUUCUUUUCUCGCAUGAGAGAAGAUGGAAAGACGGUUUACGCUGUCACUUAUAGAUGGGCCCGCGGCGCAUUAGCUAGUUGGUGAGGUAAUGGCUCACCAAGGCGACGAUGCGUAGCCGACCUGAGAGGGUGAUCGGCCACACUGGGACUGAGACACGGCCCAGACUCCUACGGGAGGCAGCAGUAGGGAAUCUUCCGCAAUGGACGAAAGUCUGACGGAGCAACGCCGCGUGAACGAAGAAGGCCUUCGGGUCGUAAAGUUCUGUUGUUAGGGAAGAACAAGUACCAGAGUAACUGCUGGUACCUUGACGGUACCUAACCAGAAAGCCACGGCUAACUACGUGCCAGCAGCCGCGGUAAUACGUAGGUGGCAAGCGUUGUCCGGAUUUUU